GACGAACGCUGGCGGCGUGCUUAACACAUGCAAGUCGAACGGAAAGGCCCUGCUUUUGUGGGGUGCUCGAGUGGCGAACGGGUGAGUAACACGUGAGUAACCUGCCCUUGACUUUGGGAUAACUUCAGGAAACUGGGGCUAAUACCGGAUAGGAGCUCCUGCUGCAUGGUGGGGGUUGGAAAGUUUCGGCGGUUGGGGAUGGACUCGCGGCUUAUCAGCUUGUUGGUGGGGUAGUGGCUUACCAAGGCUUUGACGGGUAGCCGGCCUGAGAGGGUGACCGGCCAAAUUGGGACUGAGAUACGGCCCAGACUCCUACGGGAGGCAGGAGUGGGGAAUAUUGCACAAUGGGCGGAAGCCUGAUGCAGCAACGCCGCGUGCGGGAUGACGGCCUUCGGGUUGUAAACCGCUUUCGCCUGUGACGAAGCGUGAGUGACGGUAAUGGGUAAAGAAGCACCGGCUAACUACGU
rnacentral:rRNA from 1 species